GGCAGCCUGGCUGUGGAUCAAAGCGGUGGAAGAAGAAGGAGCCGGGGAAGGAGAGAUGAAGUCUAGAUACUCAGAACUCUGUUGACGUCUUCCAGGAGGAUCCCCGGUCGGUGACCGUCUUCCUGCUCAGGUAGGAGACUCAAAGCUUUCUCAAUGUUGUUUUAUUGUGUUCCAUGUUUUAGGUCUUAUAGAUGUUUAGACUCAGUUAUUUUAAUCAUUUCAUCCUUUUUGGAGUGGAGGAUCAUCAGGUGUUUAAUGAAAUACUUCAUUUUUAUAAUCCUUAUUUCAUUAAUCACCUGAUGUUCCUCCACUCCAAAAAGGAUCAAAUAACUGAGUCUAAACAUUUAUACAACCUAAACCUGGAACAUAAUAAAACAUCAAGAAAGCGUUGAGCUCCUACCCAAUGGGGACGCCUGUGACGCCUUAUUGUUUUGUGCUUAUGUAACAUGUACAAAAAACAGGUCAUGUCUGUUCAAUAUUUUAUUGUAAUAAAACUACUGCUCUGUCCACUCUGCAUCAGUGACUUCUGUAAUUAUGUUCUGGUUAUCUGCCAGGUGUGUUUUAUUUAUAGUAGCUUACAGCUUUCAUUGUUCUGAGGAAACUUGUCUGUAGUUAUCUACCCAGUAAGCAUGUUUCCUAAUGGAAAUUUAUCAAA